GGUAGUGGUUAGUGGUUAGGCCACAGCGCUCUCACUGCAGCAGCCUGGGUUUGAUUCCCGGCCACCG